rnacentral:tRNA from 1 species
UGGUGAGUAGCAAAGCGGUAAUGCACCGGACUGUUAAUCCGGGUACCACAGGUUCGAAUCCUGUCUCACCAGCCA